UACGGGGGGUGCGAGCGUUGUCCGGAAUCACUGGGCGUAAAGGGCGCGUAGGUGGUUUGAUAAGGGUGUGGUGAAAGUCCGGGGCUCAACCCCGGAUCUGCCGUGCCGACUGUCAAACUCGAGGGCUGUAGAGGCAGACGGAAUUCCGGGUGUAGCGGUGGAAUGCGUAGAGAUCCGGAGGAAGACCGGUGGCGAAGGCGGUCUGCUGGGCAGUUUCCGACACUGAUGCGCGACAGCGUGGGGAGCAAACAGG
rnacentral:rRNA from 1 species